UUCGGAGGCUUUAGAAUUCCCCUCUCUGCUUUGUCAACACUCCUCUCUGUCCUUUGCUGGCUCUCACACUCAAUGGGACUUGUCACCAUCAUGCCCCCCUGUGAGGUUUGGAGGGGGAAACUAACAUGUGUCGGGGGCACAUUGAAGCCCUGUGACUGUGGUAAUGUCAGGAGGGCUAGAUGUUUCUCCUCUGGGGCUCCCACACUCUCCAUUUACAUGGCCAGAGUCCCUUCCUGCCUGUGAGACUGGAAGCUGGCUUUGACCUAUUUUGGCCGACUAUCUGGAGAAAAGGGGCCUGGUGCCAGCGAAGAGGCUGGCCUCAGCAAGUCACAUCGGCAGCACAACAGUUUCAGGAAAUCCCAGCUUCCUCAGUAGCCAACAGACCUAAGGAAGUACAGGGGCCUGGGGCAGCAAGUCUUUGGCAAGUGGGCAGCCUCUUCCCAGUGUCACCCUGGAGGGUAGGAUGGGGCAUAAACUGGCCAGAGACGGAAGCUUCUUCAGUUCUGUAUCACCUCACAGGUGUAAGCAAAUAAAGACUCCAGUUUCAGGGGCUGGAGGUGCCAUUCCACGGGAAAGGCUUGGGAUGAGGCAACAGGAAGGCAACAUCCUACCUCCGAAGUAUGCCCUGGAGCACCUCGGCAGGGAAGAAAAAGAAGUGGGGAUCCCCUUUCCCCUGCUUGGACUUCAGACAGAACCGUCUUAGCCAGCUGGCUGUGUUGAUAACGCCAUCUAGUGGUACAAGAGCAGCAUGACCCCCAAAAGAAACCAAACUUGCUUCUGAAGAACAACUUUUCAUCACGUGCAUUUGUAAAAUUCUGUAUUCUCUUAUUUAACCCUCAAAACAACUCAGCCAGGGGCGCCUGGGUGGCUCAGAUGGUUAAGCGUCUGCCUUCGGCUCAGGUCCCUGGGAUCGAGCCCCACAUGGGGCUCCUGGCUCAGCAGGGAGCCUGCUUCUCCCUCUCCCUCUGCCUCUCUCCCUGCUCAUGCUCUCUCUCUCUCUAUCUAUCUAUCUCUGUGUAUCAAAUGAAUAAAUAAAAUCUUUAAAAAAAAAAAA